CUCUUACUUACACACACACACACAUAAUACUAAAAAACGUACCCGUCUCUAUAGACCGUGUGCAAUGAAUCAAACUUUCAACACACACACACACAAAAUUCUAAAAACGUAUCCGUUUCUAAAGGUCGUGUGCAAUGAAUCAAACUUUCAAUUCUACACACACACACACACACACACAAACACACACACAAAAUUCUAAAAACGUAUCCGUUUCUAAAGGUCGUGUGCAAUGAAUCAAACUUUCAAUUCUACACACACACACACACACACACACACACACACACACACACACACACACACACACACACACACACACACACACACACACACACACACACACACACACACACACACACACACACCUUGAAUGUGCCACAGCGACACUGCCACCGUAUCACACCAGUAUUAUCGAGAAAACCACACGCCACGGACCUAACACCACACCACACCACACCAAGUCACCCCUUCAACACCGGUCUGAGAAACUAACGUGUAUUUUCAUUGCCGAGUUACUACUCCAUGGAAUGCGGUGUGGUUCACGAGUGUUUCAAAAUGUGAUUCAUGCAUCGGUCUCAACCUUGUCUGUCUUCCCAAGAAUGUGUGUCCUGUUACUAAUGUAAAAAUAUUGUCAAUUUUUAUUUAUACCAUUUGGACUUUUCACGGGAAUUUAUGGGCUAAAGGGGAUACAUUUUAGGGUACCUCCUAUCUCAAAGCCCACCCGCUAGGAAACCGUUGCCCCGAGUGAGGAAGCCCAACCUGCACUCGGACCGUGGACAGGAUCCGAACCCGUGCGCUUGGAGACCCCUCGAACUCCAAAGCACGCAUGCUUCCACUGUACAACUGUGCAACCAUGAAAUAUUCGCGUUACUUCAGCUACAGAGUUUUUGUAUGUAGCAGCAGUGUAGUAGUUUCAAAAUGUGGUUGAUGCUUCGGUUUCAAUCCUGUCUAUAUUCCCAAGUGUGUGUGUCCUAUUACUAAUGUAAGAAUACUGUCAAUCUCUCACUAGAAAUACUGCAACCAUGAAAUAUUCGUGUUACUUCAGCUACGUAGUUUUUUUUUUUUUUUGUAAGCAGUGGCAGUGUGGUUCAUGUAUUUCAAAGUGUGGUUCAUGCUUAGGUCUCAUUUUGUCUGUAUUCCCAAGAUUGAUUGAUCUGUUGAUAAUGUAGGGAUGCUAUUUAUCUUUCACUAGAACUAUUGCAACCAUUAAAUAUUCGUGUUACUUCACCUAAAUGGAUUUUUUUUUUUUGCAUGUAGUAGCAGUGCAUGUAGUUGUUUCAAAGUGUGGUUCAGGCUUCGGUCUCUAAUUUGUAUGUAUUCCCAAGAGUGUGUCUCCUGUUAUUAAUGUAAGAAUACUGUCAAUUUCUCACUAGAACUAUUGCAACCAUUAUAUAUUCGUGUUACUUCACCUAAAUGGGCUAUUUUGCAUGUAGUAGCAGUGUAGUUGCUUCAAAGUGUGGUUCAUGCUUCUCUCUCUAUCUUGCCUGUAUUCCCAAGAGUGUUUGUCCUGUUAUUAACGUAGUAAUAUAAACAAUCCCUCACUAGAACUACUGAAAUCAUUAAAUAUUUGUGUUGCUUCAGCUUACAUGGAGUUUUUUGCAUGUAGUGGUGGUGUGAUUCAAUAGUGUUUCAAAAUAGGUUCAUGCUUUGGUUUCAACCUUGUCUGUAUUCCCAAGAGUGUGUGUGUCGUUACUAAUAUAGGAAUGUUAUCAAUCUGUCACUAAAGCUACUGCAUUAUUAUUUCAGCUACAUUGACUUCUUUGCAUGUAGUGGUGGUGUGAUUCAAGUGUUUCAAAAUAUCGUCCCAAGCCUCUCUGCACUCCCCGCAACACCUGGACACCAACACGACAACACUACACAGGUGACGCAAUACCACACAUCGUCUAGUUAUCUUCACAAUACCACCUUCCUUUAGUUCUCAAUGUAAUAUCGCUUAACAAUAUCUUUAGCAUCAUCAUGUAACUACUAUCAUCUUUGUUCUGAUAGUUAAGGAAUCAUCGUCAAACUAUCACCACAUUGUCUUUAGAGAUAGUCAGAAUAAUCGCCUAUAUAUUUAUCAAAGCUAAAUAACUAUCCUCUAACUAAUAUUUUUUCCUCUGAUAGUACAAGUUUUUAUCUUUGUUCUAGUAGUUAAAGAAUCCUCUAACUAGAACUAUAUUCAUCCUAGUUGUAGAGAAAGAAUAAUCGCCUAUACAUUUGCCAGUGGUCAAUGAAUUAUCAUCUAUGUAUUAUUUUUGCUCUGAUAAAUAGUUCAAGUUUUAUCUUUGCUGUAGUAGUCAAAGAAUCACCUAAUUAGUAUUAUAUUUAUUCUAGUAGAACUGAAAUAAUAAUCACCUAUAUAUUUACCACAGUAGUCAAAAAAUUAUCCAUAUAUUAUUUUUGCUUUAAUAGUCCAAGUUUAUUUUCUAUCUUUGUUCUAGUAAUCGACGUAUCAUCGAACUAGUAUCAUAUUUGCUCUAGAAUAAUCGCCUUUAUAUUUGCCGCAGCAGUAAAAAAAAACAUCUAA
rnacentral:lncRNA from 1 species